rnacentral:rRNA from 1 species
AUCGAACGUUGGCGGCAGGCCCAACCCACGCAUGUCGAGCGAGCGCCGGACGGUUGAGUAAUGUCUGGGAAACUGCCUGUUGGAGGGGGAGAACUACUGGAAACGGUAGCUAAUACCGCAUACCAUCCGAUGUGCCCAGAUGGGAUUAGCUAGUAGGUUGGGUACCGGCUCACCUAGGCGACGAUCCCUAUCUGGUCUGAGAGGAUGACCAGCUCAACUGCGACUGAGACACGGUCCAGACUCCUCCGGGGAGAAGCAUUGGGGAAUAUUGCACAAUGGGCGUAGGCCUGGUGCAGCCGUACCGAGUGUGUGAAAAAGGGCUUCGGGUUGGAAGGCACAGACAGCGAGAAGACGUUAACAGCAGAAGGAGCAGCGGCUAACUCCAUGGCAGCAGCCGCGGUAAUUC